rnacentral:rRNA from 1 species
AUUGAACGCUGGCGGCGUGCCUAAUACAUGCAAGUCGAGCGCAGGAAGUCGACGGAACCCUUCGGGGGGAAGUCGAUGGAAUGAGCGGCGGACGGGUGAGUAACACGUAAAGAACCUGCCCUCAGGUCUGGGAUAACCACGAGAAAUCGGGGCUAAUACCGGAUGGGUCAUCGGACUGCAUGGUCCGAGGAUGAAAGGCGCUCCGGCGUCGCCUGGGGAUGGCUUUGCGGUGCAUUAGCUAGUUGGUGGGGUAAUGGCCCACCAAGGCGACGAUGCAUAGCCGACCUGAGAGGGUGAUCGGCCACACUGGGACUGAGACACGGCCCAGACUCCUACGGGAGGCAGCAGUAGGGAAUCUUCCACAAUGGACGAAAGUCUGAUGGAGCAACGCCGCGUGAACGAUGAAGGCCUUCGGGUCGUAAAGUUCUGUUGUAAGGGAAGAACAAGUGCCGCAGGCAAUGGCGGCACCUUGACGGUACCUCGCGAGAAAGCCACGGCUAACUACGUGCCAGCAGCCGCGGUAA